rnacentral:snRNA from 1 species
GUGCUCACUUUAGCAGCACUUACGCUAAAUUGGAAUAAUACUGAGCAGAUUAGCAUGGCCCUGAGCAAGGAUGACAUACAAAUUCAUGAAGUGUUCCAUAUUUUU